rnacentral:rRNA from 1 species
UACGAAGGGGGCUAGCGUUGCUCGGAAUUACUGGGCGUAAAGGGCGCGUAGGCGGCACUGUUAGUCAGGCGUGAAAGUCCUGGGCUCAACCUGGGAACUGCGCUUGAUACGGCAGAGCUAGAGGAUGGAAGAGGCUCGCGGAAUUCCCAGUGUAGAGGUGAAAUUCGUAGAUAUUGGGAAGAACACCGGUGGCGAAGGCGGCGAGCUGGUCCAUUACUGACGCUGAGGAGCGAAAGCCAGGGGAGCAAACGGG